rnacentral:rRNA from 1 species
CUUAGGUUGGGUAUAAACCCGGGAAACUGGGUAUAAUACCCGAUAGGUCUCGAUUGCUGGAAUGCAUCGAGAUUUAAAGCUCCGGCGCCUAAGGAUGGGUCUGCGGCCUAUCAGGUAGUAGUGGGUGUAGCGUACCUACUAGCCUACGACGGGUACGGGUUGUGAGAGCAAGAGCCCGGAGAUGGAUUCUGAGACACGAAUCCAGGCCCUACGGGGUGCAGCAGGCGCGAAAACUUUACAAUGCUGGCAACAGCGAUAAGGGAACCUCGAGUGCCAGGUUACAAAUCUGGCUGUCGAGAUGCCUAAAAAGCAUUUCAUAGCAAGGGCCGGGCAAGACCGGUGCCAGCCGCCGCGGUAACACCGGCGGCUCGAGUGGUAACCGUUAUUAUUGGGUCUAAAGGGUCUGUAGCCGGCCGGAUAAGUCUCUUGAGAAAUCUGGCAGCUUAACUGUCAGGCUUUCAGGAGAUACUGUCUGGCUCGAGGCCGGGAGAGGUGAGAGGUACUUCAGGGGUAGGGGUGAAAUCUUGUAAUCCUUGAAGGACCACCAGUGGCGAAGGCGUCUCACCAGAACGGACCUGACGGCAAGGGACGAAAGCUAGGGGCACGAACCGGAUUAGAUACCCGGGUAGUCCUAGCCGUAAACGAUACUCGCUAGGUGUCGGCCACGGUGCGACCGUUGUCGGUGCCGUAGGGAAGCCGUGAAGCGAGC